CAGCAGCCGCGGGAAUACGAAGGGGGCUAGCGUUGUUCGGAUUUACUGGGCGUAAAGCGCACGUAGGCGGACUUUUAAGUCAGGGGUGAAAUCCCGGGGCUCAACCCCGGAACUGCCUUUGAUACUGGGAGUCUUGAGUUCGAGAGAGGUGAGUGGAAUCGCGAGUGUAGAGGUGAAAUUCGUAGAUAUUCGCAGGAACACCAGUGGCGAAGGCGGCUCACUGGCUCGAUACUGACGCUGAGGUGCGAAAGCGUGGGAAGCAAACAGGAUUAGAUACCCGCGUAGUCCCUGUCUCUUAUAC
rnacentral:rRNA from 1 species